GAUGAACGCUAGCGGCAGGCUUAACACAUGCAAGUCGAGGGGUAUUGGUUUUCGGACCAAGAGACCGGCGCACGGGUGCGUAACGCGUAUGCAAUCUACCUUUUGCAGAGGGAUAGCCCAGAGAAAUUUGGAUUAAUACCUCAUAGUAUAGUACUUUGGCAUCAAGGAACUAUUAAAGUCACAACGGCAAAAGAUGAGCAUGCGUCCAUUAGCUAGUUGGUAAGGUAACGGCUUACCAAGGCUACGAUGGGUAGGGUCCUGAGAGGGAGAUCCCCCACACUGGUACUGAGACACGGACCAGACUCCUACGGAGGCAGCAGUGAGGAAUAUUGGACAAUGGGCGCAAGCCUGAUCCAG
rnacentral:rRNA from 1 species